UAGGAUUGUACCAUACUCAGCUCAUCUAUAAACCACUUUUCCGGAUUGUACCAUACUCAACUCAUCUAUAAACCACUUUUCCGAUUGCUGCCAGAAGAUGACAGAAGUUCCAGUCUUCAUCCAAGAGACAACUUUAUAACAACUAGAAUACAGCAUAAUACCUUGGAUGCAUUAGGGAAUAAAGUAUCAUGAGUAUUGGAUACAUUAUCUGGGAUAGGAGGACAUCACAAAUCUUUAAGAUUCCUUAAAGCCAUAGAUUCCGUGCAUGAUAUAUUUAUU